rnacentral:RNase_P_RNA from 1 species
UCGGUAUGUUGUUCUAUCGCUCUCGCAAGCCGUAUGGCUACGGGGGAGGAAAGUCCGGACAACACAGCGCGCUGCCCUGUGGAAAGCACAGAUAGGCGUAAGUUUAUGGAGCGCGUAACAGAAAAUAACCGCCAUGCGCAAGCGUGGUAAGGGUGAAAAGGUGGUGUAAGAGACCACCGGCGCCGGCAGCGAUGCCGGCGGCCGUACGUACCGGCAGGUUGCAAGGCCAUGUAAACCGGCGCUUGAGGGUUGCGCGCCCGAUGCCGGAGGGUGGGCUGCAUCAGAUAAAUGAUAGGACGCGACAGAAUCCGGCUUACAGGCAUACCGAUUUU